rnacentral:rRNA from 1 species
GGGUCAGUAGGUCGGUCGUGCCACUGGUAUGAACUGGUUUUACUGAUUCCUCCCUCUUGAAGAAUUGUAAUGCCAUUAAUUUGGUGUUGCAGGGAAUCAGGACUGUUACUUUGAAAAAAUUAGAGUGUUUAAAGCAGGUUAUUGCCUGAAUACAUUAGCAUGGAAUAAUGAAAUAGGACGUUUGAUUCUAUUUUGUUGGUUUCUAGGAUCGACGUA